AGAAAAGUAGGUGCCGCCCCGCACAGGGGCGACGCUAAUAGACCACUAAGAAAUCAGGGAAAGGCCAACGCCAUAAAAGCACAGCCAAAC
rnacentral:sRNA from 1 species